UACGGAGGAUGCAAGCGUUAUCCGGAUUCAUUGGGUUUAAAGGGUGCGUAGGCGGGCUAUUAAGUCAGUGGUGAAAUCCUGCAGCUUAACUGCAGAACUGCCGUUGAUACUGAUAGUCUUGAGUUUGGUUAAGGUAGGCGGAAUGUGUAAUGUAGCGGUGAAAUGCUUAGAUAUUACACAGAACACCGAUUGCGAAGGCAGCUUGCUGGGCCAUUACUGACGCUGAUGCACGAAAGCGUGGGGAGCGAACA
rnacentral:rRNA from 1 species